UACGGAGGGAGCUAGCGUUGUUCGGAAUUACUGGGCGUAAAGCGCACGUAGGCGGCUUUGUAAGUUAGAGGUGAAAGCCCGGGGCUCAACUCCGGAAUUGCCUUUAAGACUGCAUCGCUAGAAUUGUGGAGAGGUAAGUGGAAUUCCGAGUGUAGAGGUGAAAUUCGUAGAUAUUCGGAAGAACACCAGUGGCGAAGGCGACUUACUGGACACAUAUUGACGCUGAGGUGCGAAAGCGUGGGGAGCGAACGGG
rnacentral:rRNA from 1 species